rnacentral:rRNA from 2 species
UUCCGUAGGUGAACCUGCGGAGGGAUCAUUACCGAGUUUACAACUCCCAAACCCCUGUGAACAUACCUUAAUGUUGCCUCGGCGGAUCAGCCCGCGCCCCGUAAAACGGGACGGCCCGCCAGAGGACCCAAACUCUAAUGUUUCUUAUUGUAACUUCUGAGUAAAACAAACAAAUAAAUCAAAACUUUCAACAACGGAUCUCUUGGUUCUGGCAUCGAUGAAGAACGCAGCAAAAUGCGAUAAGUAAUGUGAAUUGCAGAAUUCAGUGAAUCAUCGAAUCUUUGAACGCACAUUGCGCCCGCUGGUAUUCCGGCGGGCAUGCCUGUUCGAGCGUCAUUUCAACCCUCAAGCCCCCGGGUUUGGUGUUGGGGAUCGGCUCUGCCCUUCUGGGCGGUGCCGCCCCCGAAAUACAUUGGCGGUCUCGCUGCAGCCUCCAUUGCGUAGUAGCUAACACCUCGCAACUGGAACGCGGCGCGGCCAUGCCGUAAAACCCCAACUUCUGAAUGUUGACCUCGGAUCAGGUAGGAAUACCCGCUGAACUUAAGCAUAUCAAUAAGCGGAGGA